rnacentral:misc_RNA from 2 species
ACACCUCAACUCUCCAUGGUUUUUCCAUGAUGAGCUUGGACUUUGGGGGUUUGCUGGCCUAUGUCGGCUCCUCUGAAAUGAAUCAGCUUGCCAGUGUUUGGUGGGCAUCACAGGUGUGAUAACUAUCUACGCUUGUGGUUUCCCACCAGGUAACCUUCAGCAGUGGAGGUUCGCUGGAGCUCACAGAUGUCUCUCCUCAGCGAGGACAACCCUUUGAAU